rnacentral:tRNA from 1 species
AAAAAAUUAGUUAAAUUAUAACAUUAGUAUGUCAUACUAAAAUUAUUAAAAUAUUAAUAUUUUUUA